GGGUUGCUAACUCAACGGUAGAGUACUCGGCUCCGGGUUCGAGUCCCGGGCAACCCA
rnacentral:tRNA from 28 species